CCAGCUUGCUGGGGGGAUUAGUGGCGAACGGGUGAGUAACACGUGAGUAACCUGCCCUUGACUCUGGGAUAAGCCUGGGAAACUGGGUCUAAUACCGGAUAUGACUGCUCCGCGCAUGCGGUGGUGGUGGAAAGCUUUUGCGGUUUUGGAUGGACUCGCGGCCUAUCAGCUUGUUGGUGGGGUAAUGGCCUACCAAGGCGACGACGGGUAGCCGGCCUGAGAGGGUGACCGGCCACACUGGGACUGAGACACGGCCCAGACUCCUACGGGAGGCAGCAGUGGGGAAUAUUGCACAAUGGGCGAAAGCCUGAUGCAGCGACGCCGCGUGAGGGAUGACGGCCUUCGGGUUGUAAACCUCUUUCAGUAGGGAAGAAGCGUAAGUGACGGUACCUGCAGAAGAAGCGCCGGCUAACUACGUGCCAGCAGCCGCGGUAAUACGUAGGGCGCAAGCGUUAUCCGGAAUUAUUGGGCGUAAAGAGCUCGUAGGCGGUUUGUCGCGUCUGCUGUGAAAGACCGGGGCUCAACUCCGGUUCUGCAGUGGGUACGGGCAGACUAGAGUGAUGUAGGGGAGACUGGAAUUCCUGGUGUAGCGGUGAAAUGCGCAGAUAUCAGGAGGAACACCGAUGGCGAAGGCAGGUCUCUGGGCAUUAACUGACGCUGAGGAGCGAAAGCAUGGGGAGCGAACAGGAUUAGAUACCCUGGUAGUCCAUGCCGUAAACGUUGGGCACUAGGUGUGGGGGACAUUCCACGUUUUCCGCGCCGUAGCUAACGCAUUAAGUGCCCCGCCUGGGGAGUACGGCCGCAAGGCUAAAACUCAAAGGAAUUGACGGGGGCCCGCACAAGCGGCGGAGCAUGCGGAUUAAUUCGAUGCAACGCGAAGAACCUUACCAAGGCUGGACAUGAAUCUAGUAAAGCGCAGAAAUGUGUCCCCUCUUGAGGCUGGUAUGCAUCAGGGG
rnacentral:rRNA from 1 species